GUAGAGGGUUUAGCCUUUCUCAUGGAGCAACCGCAAACCUAGGGGCUCCGCUAGGCACACGCGCCUUUCCCCCUCAUCCUGGUCUGGGGGCGUCCUCAGAGGCGGGCGGCGGGGGGCUGACGGCGACUCCCGAAUCCCCGCCGGGCGGCCAGGCGAGGCAUUCAACCGAGUAGUGAAAACACCACAAAACCGGCUCUAUUUAUGACAAUACAGCGCGGCCACCGCCAAUAUGGCGCUACUUCCCAGGCUGCCUCUCGCCUUCCGCGGCUCCGCCCUGCAGCCCUGGGCCCGCCCUCGGGCACACCCCCACCCAGCCUUGAGUUCCCGGGACCCGCCCACCUCAGCGGACUUGCAGCAAAAGCAUCUGUCAGAGUGUCAGGUCUCCCUGGUCUGUGGGAUUGUCAAUUCAGGCAAACCUCUGGGAAGGUUAUUUGUCAAUUUCCCCUUGUUUCUGCAAUAAAAGCAUCUAGAAAAAAAACAGUUGGAGAUUAAUGAGUAAAAAAGGAUUUAAAAUAUCAACCAGCUUUUUUCUGAACACUUGACUGCAUUGUCUAUGGCAGUUUCAACAUUCUGACUUCCUGAGCCAAUCAGGCACCUGGGAUUCAUAGCCACUAUGCCUCAAGAUCUCUAUGCCAAGAUCCAGGUCAGAAACUUGUAUCUCCCAGAUUCAAGAUGUGAAUCACAGGUAAACCCUACACUGUUCCACACUUGCACCAACCACCCCAAAAUAAAAGUACACCAAGCUCAAUUUGUGUUGCCAACUACUCACUGAAACAUGAUCUAACUCUUACUGACCAGCCUCUUAAAGAAAACAGAGUCCUUCCCAACCUGGACCAGAAACCAUUAACUCCGAAGAGCUUCACUUCAGCAUCUUUAUCACUAUCUAAGUGUCUUUGGAACAAGUGGUGGAACUCUCAGCUCCUCCAGUCUCAUGCCUGCCUGAACAUUGCCAUGCUCCCACCUUGAUGAUAAUCGACUGAACCUUGGAACCUGUAAGCCACCCCAAUUAAAUGUUGUACGUAUAAGAGUUGCCUUGGUCAUUGCAUCUGUUCACAACAGUAAAACCCUAAGACAGAUAGAGUAGAAGAUAGGUGAAAUUGAUUAUAGAAGUGAAAC
rnacentral:lncRNA from 1 species